GACGUAGGGAGCAAGCGUUGUCCGGAUUCAUUGGGCGUAAAGGGUCCGUAGGCAGCUCAGCAAGUCUGGUGUGAAAUCUCCAGGCUCAGCCUGGAGGGGCCACCUGAUACUGCUGUGGCUAGAGUCCAGUAGGGGAGCGUGGAAUACCCGGUGUAGCGGUGAAAUGCGCAGAUAUCGGGUGGAACACCAGUGGCGAAGGCGGUGCUCUGGGCUGGAACUGACGCUGAUGGACGAAAGCGUGGGUAGCAAACAGG
rnacentral:rRNA from 1 species